rnacentral:lncRNA from 1 species
AGGAUUUGGGCCAAAAUCUGUCUUUGCAAGUCAAGGUACUUACAUUAACAAGGUCGAAUGGUUUAUUUUUGUACCUGAGAUGGAAGCUCCCACCAAACAAUUUUGCCCCUCUAUGUAAAAGAAAAGAAAAGAUGGCCAUAUGAUGAAUGGGUCCUUUUUAUUGAGAAAGGUGUUAUCAAAAUAUUCUAAAUAAAAUAAAAUAAAUAAAUAUGUCAUAAGUUAGUUACCUGAGCGGGAAUUAACUUACUCUUGUGAACCCUAGGCCAACCCCCAUUCAUCACUUUUUGUACUGUUUUCCAAGUUUCCCCCGAACAAACAAUAUACACAGAUAUCAUACCAAGCAAUGACAGAGACAAUCAAAUUAGGUUGCCCUGUCUCACAGAGGAGUUAUGAGCAUAAAAUGCAGAGUUGGAAAACCUAGUGUAACACUUUAACCUCUGCAACAGAAUGGCCACUGAAACAAGUGUCAAGAUGUCAUUCGGAACAACAGAAACCAUGAGACGAUCAUACUUUGAACUAGAGAUGGACACAAACCUCAGUUCGGAGUCAUGCUGGUUUGUACGUGUGGCUUGUGGUGCCGCAUGUUCCCUUCUACCACCUCUGAAUAGCUGAAGCGGAGGAGAAGAGGAGUGCACUCUGACUGGUGAGAAGGACAUUGGCCUGGGAGGCAGGGAAAGUGGCAGGAACCCCCGAACUAAGGUUCAUGCCC